GAUGAACGCUGGCGGCGUGCCUAAUACAUGCAAGUAGAACGCUGAAGCUUGGUGCUUGCACCGAGCGGAUGAGUUGCGAACGGGUGAGUAACGCGUAGGUAACCUGCUUCUUAGCGGGGGAGAACUAUGGGAAACGAUAGCUAAUACCGCAUAAAAGUCGAUAUCGCAUGAUAUUGAUGUGAAAGGUGCAAAGGCCUCACUAAGAGAUGGACCUGCGUUGUAUUAGUUAGCUGGUGAGGUAACGGCUCACCAAGGCGACGAUACAUAGCCGACCUGAGAGGGUGGUCGGCCAACCUUGGACUGGGACACGGCCCAGGCUCCUACGGGGGGCCGCAGUAGGGGAUCUUCGGCAAAGGGGGCAACCCUUGCCGCACAACGCCGCGGGGGUGAAGAAGGGUUUCGGGUCGUAAAGCUCUGUUGUAAGGGAAGAACGAGUGUGAGAGUGGAAAGUUCACACUGUGACGGUAACUUACCAGAAAGGAACGGCUAACUACGUG
rnacentral:rRNA from 1 species